UCUCUGCUUACAGUGUCUGGGG
rnacentral:miRNA from 1 species